rnacentral:rRNA from 1 species
UACGAAGGGGGCUAGCGUUGCUCGGAAUCACUGGGCGUAAAGGGUGCGUAGGCGGGUUUUUAAGUCAGAGGUGAAAUCCUGGAGCUCAACUCCAGAACUGCCUUUGAUACUGAGAAUCUUGAGUACGGGAGAGGUGAGUGGAACUGCGAGUGUAGAGGUGAAAUUCGUAGAUAUUCGCAAGAACACCAGUGGCGAAGGCGACUCACUGGCCCGUAACUGACGCUGAGGCACGAAAGCGUGGGGAGCAAACAGG